rnacentral:rRNA from 1 species
ACACAUGCAAGUCGAACGAGAGAGAGGGAGCUUGCUUCCUCAAUCGAGUGGCGAACGGGUGAGUAACGCGUGAGGAACCUGCCUCAAAGAGGGGGACAACAGUUGGAAACGACUGCUAAUACCGCAUAAGCCCACAGGUCGGCAUCGACCAGAGGGAAAAGGAGCAAUCCGCUUUGAGAUGGCCUCGCGUCCGAUUAGCUAGUUGGUGAGGUAAUGGCCCACCAAGGCAACGAUCGGUAGCCGGACUGAGAGGUUGAACGGCCACAUUGGGACUGAGACACGGCCCAGACUCCUACGGGAGGCAGCAGUGGGGAAUAUUGCACAAUGGGGGAAACCCUGAUGCAGCGACGCCGCAUGGAGGAAGAAGGUCUUCGGAUUGUAAACUCCUGUUGUUGAGGAAGAUAAUGACGGUACUCAACAAGGAAGUGACGGCUAACUACGUGCCAGCAGCCGCGGUAAAACGUAGGUCACAAGCGUUGUCCGGAAUUACUGGGUGUAAAGGGAGCGCAGGCGGGAAGACAAGUUGGAAGUGAAAUCUAUGGGCUCAACCCAUAAACUGCUUUCAAAACUGUUUUUCUUGAGUAGUGCAGAGGUAGGCGGAAUUCCCGGUGUAGCGGUGGAAUGCGUAGAUAUCGGGAGGAACACCAGUGGCGAAGGCGGCCUACUGGGCACCAACUGACGCUGAGGCUCGAAAGUGUGGGUAGCAAACAGGAUUAGAUACCCUGGUAGUCCACACCGUAAACGAUGGUUACUAGGUGUUGGAGGAUUGACCCC